GUCCGAGUAGCUCAGUGGAAGAGCGCUUGGCUGUUAACCAAGAGGUCGGCGGUUCGAUCCCGCUCUCGGACG
rnacentral:tRNA from 1 species